UCAGUUUUUCCUUCCCCAUUUUCACGCAGCCAUCGCCAGGGACAGCCGCACAGCACGUUUCUCUCCGAGUUGGCCUCGCUUAUUGGCAUUCGCCAUUUCCCGCUGAUUUCUGUUGUUUUUUCGCUGAAGCCAUUGUCUUCGGCGUCGUUUGGAACUGUGAGCCACUUCCAGCUCGGAUUCGGAUUCGGAUUGUGUUCGGAUUCGUUUUGUUUUAUUUCCACUAUUUUGUUUUUCUUGUGCGGCGCGUCAGAAACUCGUGCAUGGGGAUCAAUCUCUCCAUUAGAGUCGUCAUCGCUGUUUGAGCCCCUCUGGAUCUGAGCUGCCUGUCGGUUAUUGCAUUGUAAAGACAGAAGGCAAUGUAAUGAUGUUUGCGUCAUGAGCGGCAUUUCUAGCUCAAGAGUGUGGAGUAUCUCCACAUCUCUAUAUCCAAGUAUCUUUGUAUCUGCUGUCGUGCACUUGUAGAGCUCCGUUGCUCGUCGCCCGUCGCUCAAUCGUCUCGCAUUUCGCAUUUUGCGGGCGAAUAUUGUGUAAUAUAUGCAUUGUUGCUGGCUUGCCAGGAAUUGGGUAAUCCAUAUGGCCAAUAUCAAGUAUGUACCAGCACCUCAACUGAAAACGAAACCUCUUGACAAGAGAAAUAUAUAAAACUCAUCUGCACACAUUGAGAUGGAUUGGCGCGGUACAUUUGCAUCUUUUGCAUAGUUUAUCAAUUUAAGGUGCCAUCGAGGCUAAAACCUUUUGAUAAAUUGCACGAAACGAAAGCAGUAUUCAGCAGCGAGCAGUCGCUUUGUGUAUCUGUAUCUCUGAGAUACAUAAAUAUGAAACGAGGCAAAUUCAACAAUCAAUCAGCAGAAGACGACACUCAAUUCAAAUGGCCAAUUUGUUUACAAAUAAAUGUUUGACAAUUUCCGAGGGGCUAACGAGGGUGCUAAACAACUCGAUGCUAUACACUCCCUUUAAACCGAGUGGACUGCAAUUCGGAACGAUCUCAACGCAAAAAUGGCACCGCAACAUCAUCAGCAUCGGCAGCAACAGCAACAAAGGACGCAACUUACUCGGCAAAGGCUGCAGCAACAACAACAGCAACAGCAUUUAGAAACAACAGCAAAGGCCCGGCAACGAUAUAGAGCGAUGGAAAAAUGAAACAAAAACCAGAAACGAAUUUUCCACUCAAAUUUGCAUUCCGCCAAAGAAAUACAAAAGUCUAAACAAAGAGGAAGGAAACAACACAAAAAACAAAUCACAAUAAGAAAGUCGCCAGUGAAAAGGGGUCAGAGGGCACGCACACAAACACACCAAAACACACGGGACCGCAACACAAUCAUAACCAUACAAGGCGCAUAAAACACAUUUAACACACGGACACAAAGGACGACGAGUGCAAUGUGAACAAUUUUCAACGAAUUUCCAAAAGUCUACAAAACAAAUCUAACAAAAGUUCAUUACAAAUAACAAACCAUAAAAAAUUUUGAAAUUUGCUCUGUGAUUUUCUAUCAGAAUGGUUUAGUAAUCCAAAUAAUAAUAAUACAAAUAUUUAAAGUAUUUAUAAAUAUUGCUUAGCUGCGUUCCAAGCAACCGAAAAAGAGAAAAGUUUAUCAAAUCCCCAAAGAAAAGCUUUAAUUCCAAACAGAAAACGUAAAUCAACAAUUUCUAUAAAUAUUACCAACCGAUAUUUAUUACUCUGCGACUAAUUAGAGCAGCUAGUGCUAGUCAAAUAACUUCGAUCAUAGCCACAUUUCCACUAGAGGACAACCCAGACCGGAGCCAUGGACGAAAUGCCCGACCUAUCGCACCUCACGCCCCACGAGCGGAUGCAGAUCGAGAAUGUCCUCAUGCGACAGAAGCAGGAGGAGGAGAAGCAGAACGAGAUCAUGCGGCGCAAGCAGGACGAGGUGGUCACGCUGGAAAUGCAAAUCAGACAGCGCUCCGAGCAGCAGAAGAAGGCUGGCGUCGAGCUGGAUGCCACCUGUCACAUAUGCCUUAAGACCAAGUUCGCCGACGGCGUUGGCCACAUUUGCCACUACUGCAACAUCCGCUGCUGCGCCCGGUGCGGCGGUAAGGUGACGCUGCGCAGCAACAAGGUAAUUUGGGUGUGCAUACUGUGUCGCAAGAAACAGGAGCUGCUGUCCAAGACUGGCCAAUGGAUCAACAAGACGGCGGCCCAACAAGACGGUUUCAUCCGACGCAUCGAGCCGGAUGGGAGCAGCGACAUCUCGCAGCAUCCCAUCGUGGAUCCGCACGACACCACGGACAAGCGGCCCAAGCUGGAAAGGACUCGCAGUGCCGCCGAGAAGGAGAAUCUGCCGAUGCAGCGAGCGGGCAGCAUGCUGAGGCGCCAGUACUCGCAGCAGGAGCAGCCCACGAACCGCCGGCUUUCGGCCUCCGACAGCGGCAUGGACCCCAUAAUGAGUCCUGGCCAGCAGCAGCAGAUGCAGCACCACCAUCAGCAGAUGCAGCAGCAAAGAUCCCGCAUGCAGCCAAUGAAUCCGCAGCAGGCGCAGCAGGGAUACGGAAUGCAGCAGCAGCCACAACCAAGAUCGGGUGGCGCCUAUCCCGACGAUGAUCCGCGUUACUAUCAGGGCGAGCUGGACGGUCUGAUGAGGCAGCAUCCCCACCUGGCGCAUCCCAGCCAGGUGCAACCGCCACAGCAGCAGCAAUCGCAGCACCAGCAGCAUCAGCAGCAGCAACAUACAAUGCCGCAGCAGCAUCGCCAGUCACCGCAGCAACAUCCCCAGCAGCAGCAACAGCAACAUUCGCAGCAAUUUGCGGCCAGGCAGCAGCAGCAGCAUCAACAGCAAUCGUACCAGGCACAAAUACAUCAGCAGCCGCAGCAACAUCCACAUUCGCAGCAGCAACAUCAGCAGCUGCAGCAGCUGCAGCAGCAGCAGCAUGGACAGCAUGGACAGCAGAUGCCGCAGUUGGCUGGCUACCAGAAGCCGCCACCGUUGACCCGCAACCUGACCAUCAGCGGUGGUCAUGCGAUGGACUCCAGUGCCUACAGCCAGCAGCAACAGCAGCAGCAACAGCGACGGGCGCUGGCAGGAUCGCAGUACGCGUCGCAGCAGCAGAGGUCCUUCAGCAGCUCCGAGGAGGAGUUCCAGCACCAAUUGCUGGCCGCCCAGGCGCAGGCGGCCGUGGCGGGGGGCGUGGCCACAGUGACCGCCGGAUCGGACUAUGACGGCGGGCGCCUUCAGGUGCGCACCUCUCUGGAUCCGUGGCGCCAGCAGCGCAGCCUCAACGAGCGGGACCUGCUCAGCGUGGGCGGUGGUGGUGGGGGCGCCGGCGGUGCUGACUUCCGCCACCUGUCGCACGCCACCCAGCGGCUGUACGCCUCCGCCGAUCAGCGGGAUCGCUACGAGCUGCAGCUGCAGCACCGCGAGCGCCUCGAGCAGUAUCCACUGACGCGUACCGCUCGCCUGGACGUCCAGCAGCGCAACUCGCUGAACCGCAGCAAUCACGAGCGGCAGCUCUCCAGCAGCGGCGGCGGUGGGCCAGUUGGGGGUGGUGCCGCUGGCGCCUACAGACGUGCCCCGCCCUUGGCAACCGCCGGCGGCGGUGGCAGCAGCAGCAGCAGCACCACCAGCAGCAGCUACUAUUCCCAGUCGAAGCCGCAGAUUGUGAUUGGUACGGGAUCGGGCUCUGGAUACGAUCGGGCAUCCAUGGCAUCAGGGGCAGCGACCUUGGAGGCCGCAGGUCAGGCGGCGCGAGGAGGGGGCCAGCGUGUUGGCCUGCUGGGCGCCACGAGGGGCGGUGCCGGCGGAGGUGGCAGCAGUUCGGUCAGCUCCACCGAGGCAGCAUACUGGGACGAACCGGCCACCAGCUCGUCCUCAUCGGCGGCCCAAGAUUCGCGGCGAUUCACCGAGCGCAGAAUAAAGAAGACGGUGCGUUUCGAUGCUCACGACGAAGAGGCCGCCAUACUGGCGACCAGCAGCUCACUGCCACCGGUCACGGGAAUCUUGCCCUCGACGGCUGUGGAUGUGGGUGCAGCCACCAUAUUGAGCAGCGGAAAGAGUCUCGAGGCCGGCGGUGCGGACUGGUCGCGCUGGGAGGCCGAAAGGCAGGGCAGUCAGGACUCGGCCACCAAGGACUCGGGAAUCGAUACCAGCAGCACGUUCACCAGCAGCGAGGAUUCAAAUCGCGGAGAUGGGCCCAAGAACCCUGUGAAUUGGCAAACAUCCGCGGAUAAUACUCGCCUGAUCGGGCACAUGAUAUUGCGUAAAUACUAUGAUGGGGAGGAUAUAUUAGGCUUAAAGGUCAACGGAGGUCAGCUCCUCGGAACGGGAACCGUAACGAGCGGCGGAGGUCCAUGCGGGGCCAUUGUGGAGAAGGUGAAGCGCGGAUCGGUGGCCGAUCUCGAGGGAAGGAUUCGACCAGGCGACGAGAUCCUCGAGUGGAAUGGCCGCGGGCUGCACAACAAGAGUGCCGACGAGGUGUACGACAUCAUCGACGAGAGUCGGCUGGACGCCCAAGUGGAACUGAUCGUGAGCCGUCCGAUCGCCAGCGGCGGCGGCAGUGGCGGCAGCAGCAGCAACGUCAGUCCCAUCAGCGGCGCCUCCGGUGGAUCCGCCAACAGUGGUGCCCAGCUCACCGCUCGCCGCUCCUCGGCCAAUUUCCCGCACAGCGGGCUGGCCAGCAGCAUGGCCGGCAGUGCGGUGGUCAGCAGCGGCGGACGAUAUCUCCAGCGCAAAGCACCUGCAGUCGAGGCUAUUGAAAUCCACCGUGACAAGCCGAGCGUGCUGAUCACCUCGCCCGGUUCGCCGGACAUUCACACCAGUGUCACCGGACCGGGAUCGGGAUCGGUAACAGGAGCGGGCGGCGGCGGAGGCGGAGGACUUCGACAACGUGGCGGCGUCGGGCAGACGCAGCGACUGGGACCAAGCCACAGUAACCACAGCCACAGCAGCAGCGGGAGUGGCAGCGGCAGCGGCAGCAGUACCAGCAGCGUCCACGCCCCCCAAUCCGCUCACGGCCCCCCCGCCCACGCGUCCGGUUCCGCCCCUGGCGGCCUGCACGGCACAACGACGGCGGGCCACCAUCACCACCAUUACCACCACCCGCAUCCGCAUCCGCACCAGCAUCCGCUUCAGGGUCUCCAGGGUCCGCCCGCCGCCGCCCACCACCAGCAAGGCCACGGGGUGGGCGGUGGCCUUGGCAUGGGCGGUGGCUCCGGCACCACCACGCAGCCCAUUCCCAUCGAGGGGCGACUGCAGCUGAAGCUCGGCUACGACCAGAACACGCUGCAGCUGAUCGUGACCCUAGUCUGCGCCACCGGCCUCUCCCUGCGCCAGAGCGGAGCGGGCCGCAAUCCCUAUGCUAAAGUGUUCCUUCUGCCCGAUCGCAGCCACAAAUCAAAACGACGUACAAAGACAGUGGGCACCACCUGCGAACCCCGCUGGGGCCAGACCUUUGUCUACUCGGGUCUGAGACGCUGCGACCUCAAUGGCCGACUGCUCGAGGUGACGCUGUGGGAUUAUGUGCGGUAUGGGGCCAACGACUUCAUCGGCGAGGUGGUCAUCGAUUUGGCCCACCACAUCCUGGACGACGAGGCCGAAUGGUAUCAGCUGCAGCCCCACCAGGACACCUCAUAUCUCUUACGAGACGAGGGCAGCGAUGUGGACGGCCUGAUACUGACACCGACAGAUCAUUUAUCACCGCCGAGCACCAUGUCGCGUCUGAGCGAUUCGGACACGACGUCCGACUGCGACAUCGAUGGAAUGACGCCCGGGGCCAGCAUCUCGUCGAUGGGCAGCUCAUCGAGUCCGCCGCCCCUGCUAGAGCUCGAUUUAAACGAGCGUCGGUCCAGACGUGACAUGUCGCCCCAGGGCCGCAAACGGGUGGCCGGGAUGGUGGCCCGCGACUACCGCACAGUAUCUGGCAUUGGACAAAGUUACCACAAUCAGGCCUCUGCCACCGGCUACUAUCGUCGCGGAGGUGGUAAUGGUGUCGGCUCGACCAUCGGUCCCGGUGGCAUGAGCCUUAGCCAGCGCAGUCACUCGGCGGCACCCAGCGACGGUUACCACAGCAGCGGAGGUGUGCCCUCCGGCGGAUCCGCUUACGGCUACAGGAGCACCAGUCCCCGGCGGGGCUCCCUCUCGCCGCCCGACGACCGCUACAUAGACUAUCCAGUGCUUCCAGUUCACGGCUCGCCCAACGCCCCAUCGGUUUACCAGGGUCCGGGUGGUGCCACCUCAGCGGCGGCGGCUGCCUCGCAGCAGCAGCGGUUCCAAUCGCGCUCGGCCACAGCCACGCCCACAGGAUCACCGAAAAAGAGGCAACUGCCACAGGUGCCGCAGACCUCUCGCAGUGCCAUGUUGCGGGACCGCCUUGGGCAGGAUUUCGACGAGCGGCUGGCGUCGGGCGGUCGCUUUGGACGGCACCGCACACGGCAGCCACACCACCAAGCCACUUACCGCAGCACCGGAAUGGGCGGCUGGGAGCGCCACUACACGGGACUGUCCGACAGCGACCUGCAGUCGAUGGAUGCGCGCAUGCGCCCGCGGCACUCGCUGUCGCCGGACAAGGACUUCAUGGGAGAGUUCGGAGACUCGGAUAUGGAGUCAGUAGUCAGUGUGACCUCCAGCGCCUUCUCCACGCAGUCGGAGCGACCCCGCACCUCCCGCGGACUCAGCUUCCCCCGCAACUGGCGCAAUCUCUUUGGCGUCCGCAAUAGUUUGCUCAGCGGAUCUGGAGGCGAACCUAUCACCGGACUGCGGCUACACCACGCGGAGCCCGGAAGGGCCAACACUAUCGAGGUGGAUGACUGCGACUAUCUGCCGGCGGGUGGUGCCCAGCAACUGGUGUUGCUGGAGCAGUUGGAGCAACUGCAACAGUUGGCUGCACUGGCGGCGGCAGACUCCCCACCCAUUUCAGCCGGAAUCGGAAUGGCACCACAUCAGGUGCUGGUGACCGAUGCCAACAGCGGCCAGUUGGUGGAGCAGUUCUUCGUGGAACCCGGCACCAUGGCCGAGGAGAUGAUGAUGAUGGAGCCACUCGAUCCCCAUUUGCAUCCAUAUUCCGCCUUCUAUUCGCCAUCGCCUCAUUUGCCACCGCCAUUCGCUAUCGACAUCUUUCCACCACGACGGUCCAACGGACAGAAACCGAACGUACAACAAGCCACCGCCGCUGCCUAUCCGCUGCCGCUGCUGCCCAGCUUUGAGCAAUUCAAGCGCAUAACCACGCCCAUCACGAAUCUCUUCCGCAGCUCCUCGCCCUCAGGCGUCCACGCCCACGACCACGCCUCCACGACGCCCAGUUCGUUGGUUGGCUAUGUGCGCGACCAUCAGGACAAGAGCUGCAGUCACUGCCAAAAUGGAAGUCAGCCAGUGGUGCUGUCGACGCACCACACGCUGCACCUGACCACCGCCGGUCUGGCGAUUGGCGCCUGCCCGGAUCCCUGCUGUCUGGCGGAUGCCCAUCCCCAUCCCCAGCACCAGCCCAUGGGGUAUCCGUAUGCAGUCGGAGCAGGUGGUGACCACCUGCCUCCGUCAUCGGACCCAGCAAUGUGCGGCGAGUGUGUGGAUCAGCACUUUCUGGGCGGAUUGACGGGGCCGCAGCUAAACCUGGGCGUGGUGCCCACCUACCACGUGCACACGCCCACCCCGAAUGCCCAUCGGCGUGCCAGGGGUCAAAUGGCGACGCCAGCCCCGCCACCCACGCAAUCGGUGCUUCGCCUGUCGCGACAACUGAGCGAAGACGCCCUGGUGGCUGCGGUUCCCAUCUCAGAGGCCAAGGCGCAACCCACUUCGAUACUGAAGAAGCCAAAGCUGGAGCGAAGGCGACUCUUCCACGAGGGUCAGUCGCGAUCCCUGGACUACGAUGAUCUGCACACGAAGAGCUGGGGUCGCCGACGCAUACGAUACGAGGACGAGGUGAUGCCCUCCUCGGCGGACUACCCCUAUCCACAUCCCAACCCGUAUGCCCAUUCACCAACGGCGGCGGCGAUGUCUCGUCGAUAUGGAUCGGAGACCAAUAUCCGGCAGUCGUAUAUGGGCGCCAAUGUGGAUGCCAGCCAUCCGUUGAGUCACUCGCAUUUCCUGGUAACCGAUGACAAGAUUGUUACCAUUACCUACGACUCGGAUGUGGGCUGGACGCGACGUGGGGUGGCCCCAUCCCUCUUCCGGGGGGCACAUCGGCAGCGUGGAUUGGCAGAUGCCAGGCACCACAUGUCGCUGGACUUGCAGCGAACCAGCCAACAGAAGCUGUACGGACCAGCGGCUCCAUACUUGAAGCGCCGACGGAAUCUGCCGCAUCCACCAAGCGCGCAAAAUGCCCACAACUUUUCACCAAUGGAGCCUGGUUCGGGGAUGGACUUGAACGCUGCGGCAGCGGGAAUGGAUCAGGGCAACGGAAUGGGUAGCGGUGGUGCACACAACACUACCAGUACCAGUACUACACACAAUAGCAACCACCAACACACCAACCACCACAAUAGUCAAGCGAGUAGUGUUAGUGUUAGCCAUAGUCACAAUCAACAACAACUACAACAACAACAACAAUCAGUUAGGCAAAAAGGGAAAGAAGGCACCACCGCCAACAGCGGAUCGAUGAUGGCAUCGGAGCAGCUGACGAAAUCUAGUAGUGGGAGCGGUGGUGCAACAUCUGCUGCCGCUGCUGGGCAUCUUGUCGUCGGUGGUACUAAUGCUAAUAAUGCUUCUUCUUCCUCUUUUGCAAAUCCCCAACCACAACAACAACAACAACUUCAUGGAUCACCCAAUAACAACAAACGUGCCCCAUCAUCAACACCACAACAACAACAACCACAACAAUACACAAACACCAACAAUGACGCCAACAACCUGACGCUUGACGCCACACAACAACAAUCACAACAACAACCACCAAAUACAUGCACAAAUCUGAUCACAAAUACAACAACAACAUUAACAACAACAACCACAACAUCGUCGAAUGCAACGAAUGCGGCGACAACGACAACCGCAACAACAACAACAAAUGCUACAACAACUGCCAUAAAUCCAACAACAACGAAUAACACGAACGAACCAAACGCAACAACAACGAACGCAAAUGCUGAUGCGGAUGCGGACGCGGAUGCUCCGCUGGACGCAAUCGACUGGGAUGCCAUUGAUGCGAUGUUGGACGAUGACUUUAGCGAGUACGACAAGGACAAGAAUGGAGCUGAGGAGACGGGCGGCUCCAAGUCAGCGGAGGGUGUUGGUGCCGAAGAUAAAGUCGAUGGCAGCCUCUCGGACACAGCGAACGACCGCAAGAAGGGCGGCGGCGUCGACCAGGAGCGAUCCCCCAAAGGAGGCAGCGGUAUGGGCAAGAAGUCGAACUCCACAUCGCAACUUUCGGCCACAGGUCGUAAAAGACGUAUGGGCUUUGGAAAGAAGGGUAAGAACUCGUUCACGGUGCACCGCAGCGAAGAGGUGCUGCCCGGCGAUAUCACGCGGGAGCUGCGCAGCGGCGGCGUUAGCCUCGGCGGUGCCGGUGCCGGCGGUGGUGGUGCCAGUGGCGCCGGCGGUUCAGCAGGCGCCGGCGGUGGGGGCGGCCUGUCCCGCGGCUCGUCCUCGGAGGCGGACGCCAUCGAGCAGUUCUUCGGCGAUGGCGCCGGCGGGGAAAGAUUCUCCCCCUCGUUGCGCAACGAUGGAGCCCUCAAUGAGUUCGUAGAUGGCCUCGGACCGGGUCAGUUGGUGGGCCGCCAGGUGCUGGGAGCUCCCUCGCUGGGCGACAUCCAAUUAUCGCUGUGCCACCAGAAGGGCUGCCUAGAGGUGGAGGUCAUACGGGCUAGGGGCUUGCAACAAAAAGCCCAGUCAAAAAUGCUGCCCGCCCCGUACGUAAAGGUUUACUUAGUGUCGGGAAAAAGAUGUGUGGACAAGAUGAAGACCUCGUCGGCGCGACGAACUCUGGAUCCACUGUACCAGCAGCAGUUGGUGUUCAAGCAGUCCUAUACUGGUUGCAUACUACAGAUAACCGUGUGGGGCGAUUACGGACGCAUCGAGAAGAAGGUGUUUAUGGGCGUGGCGCAGAUAAUGCUCGAUGAUCUGAAUCUGUCGAACAUCGUGAUCGGCUGGUACAAGCUCUUUGGCACCACCUCUCUGGUCAGUUGUCCCACUAAUAUAGGCUUAGGGUCUAGGCGCUCAUCCAUAGCCUCACUCGACUCACUCAAACUGUAGAUCUAAACUAAACUGAACUCGACUAAAACCAACAUAUUUUAAAAUCAAUUCGUACACGAAAAAAAAAAAACCAAAAACACAAAAUAGAAAUUUCGCAAAUCGCAAAUUUGAUAAACAAAAACACUUGCAUAUAUUUAUAUAAUCCUACACACAGAACAUAUAUUUAUAUAGUAUUUAGCUCAACGUUUUGUUCAAAGCAAGUUACCAAGAACAAAAGUUACACAACUUUGUCGCGUAAACAGUCACAAAAACCUGUAAAAAAAAUUCCAAGCUCAAAAAAUCAGUUUUAAAAAAAACAUCAAAAAUUAAACCGAAAAAAUUGUCAAUAUCAAAGCAUUUGUUUUUAGUUAGCAAUAUACAGUACAUACGCACUCCUGUAAAUGAAAAGCUUAUUCAAAUCACGGUAACACACACACAAACACUACACACCAAUGAGGCAAAAGUAGAACGAAAAUUCGCAUUGUGUACUUAAACGUUGAAUGGAGAGUUGAUCGAAAGCAAUCCAAUCAAAACCAAACUGCAAACCAAAUUAAUACGAAAAUAACCUUUCGCAAGUCACCAUAAAUCACCGUUACCGUUAAAGUUACCGUCACUUCAACGUAGUUUUCACAUAGACUCGUAUAAUACUCAUAUAGUAACCAUUCGCCCGUGCUGUCAGCCCGGCAGCCAAAUAGCAAAGGACCAAGGGUUAGCCUGCAGCGGCUCAUCCCAGGAAGCCGCCCGAUCCUCGUUCGGCAGGUUGCUGGCCUAAGCUAAGUCCACAUCUAUUUUUUUUCUAUUCCACGGCGAAGGAAGACUUUAAAUGAACAACAACAAACAGAACUAAAACAAAAAUUAUAAAAAAAAGAGAAAUAUCUAAUUUUUAUAAGUCAUGAAAACAAAUGCAUUUAAUGAACCGAGAACAGAAAACACAAGCAGAGCAGCAAAAUGAUUAAACAUAACUACGGAAUACAGCUAAAAGAUAAAUGUAAAGGAAGUCUAUAUAUACAUAUACACAUAUAUAACAGAUAACAUUUGACAAAGAAUACUUGUAAAUUAUGCAUAUUUAAAAUAAUUUUUAUUACACACCUAAGAUCACUAUUAUUUUCGUAAUACGAUUACUACGAUUAUUAUUACUUAAAACUAUUAUUAAAAGAAAAAAAUACCAAAAAAAAAACAAAACAAAAAAAAAACAAAGGAGAAGGUGGAUAAAGUUAAAGUGCUAAUGUCAGUCAUGCCUAAGCCUUAGCCUGAGCAGAGACUCUGAAGGAUAUAAAUUGUUUAUUGAAUAAAUAGCUAAAUCUAAAUCAGUAAAGGCAGUUAUAGAUUUUCAGAGGAGGGAGUUAUUUAAGUAUAUAUACAUACAUAUAUAAAUCUAUAUAUACAUAAAUAUAUUUACUGUUUAAGCAAGCAAAGAACCACUAACACUUAAAUAAGCCUAACUUACGAUAAAACCGAUAAAGUUAAAGCUUAAGAUUAGGUAACUAAAAAGGGAUAUGAGAUAUGUAUUAAUCGAACAACCAAAAGAACAACAAAUAUUUACCAAGCGAGAGAUGAGCAAGUUUAACUUAAUAAUGCGAAAUCUGAACUCAAGCUGUACAUAGGAUCCACACACGUUACAUAUACACUACAUCCGGAUUACCUAUUACCAAAACUACCGCUUCCCCGAGUUUAGGCUUUAUAGCUAUUGGUUAGCUCUGCGCCACGGCUUAAACUCCGCAGCCACCCCAAAAUGUACGAGUUUUUGCCGUCGGCGAUGAGGACACAUAUAUAUUUGAGUCAGAAUGGUAUCGUAUAAUUUAACUUAGAGCAAAGAAAAACUAUCUCUCUCUAUGAAUAUACUAUAUCGCAUUUUUGUUGUAGCUUCCCCCGCUUCACUUCGACGCGCUUUUAGGGCCGCUUUAAAGUUAGUUUGUCGCCUUGGUUCCCAAUCAACUUGCCUCGAAAACGCAUCAAGUACCUUCAAUUUAAUAGUGUGAGCUGUAAAAAUCGUUACCUGCUUGCCAAAAAAUCACUAACACGUACAUUAGCAUAGAUGGGAAACGAAAAAAUGCUACGGAAAACCAAAAAUAGUUUGCAAUAUACUGCAUGUUAAUUUGGGAUAUUUUUGGCAUUUAUGUGGGCAACAUUUUGCAAUGCAUUCCUGGGGAGAAGCAAACAUAUCACUGGCCUGCAGACAGAUGAUGGAUGGGAGCAGUUAACUUUUAUAUAUACAUUAGGACAUAGGUCAGGGGGAUAAAUAUGAUUAUGAGAAACCUAGAUAUUGUUCCUAUCCAGUUGUUUAGUGCUCUUUUUUUUUGCUUUCACUCAUGGCUACGGAUAUUGAGUUGAACCUUUCCGUCCAUUCAUUCAGAUACACACAGCUAUACAUAAACAGUUGCAGUUACAGCUUACAGCUUACAGAUUGAGGUAAAUUAAAAAAAUAUAUUGACAUGUGCAUAUCCAUCCAAGCAGCAGCUUCCUAUAUCAGCGCUAAACAACUAAUACGUAAAGAAAUGCCGAAACACAGGGAAAAUGCAUUCAAAAUGUUGCUGCAAAAAAAUCCCAAAAAAUCGCUCAUCAAGCAUUGAAACACAGAAGAGGAGGAUAACGCGCUUCUGAUAUUUGAGAAAAGUUAAACUACCAGCGAGGUUUCCAGCAACUAAUUAUACGAUAUAUAAGUCAGAGGAACAUACACUCAGAUACAUACAUUAUAGAUAAUCAGAUUUGUACAUUCCGCUCUUCACGAAACCCAUACGAACUUUUCUAUGAUAAAACUCUCUCUAUCUCAAUCUUUCUAUUGUUUCCACUGCUCUCCUUCAGCAAACAUUCAAAGAUGCUUUGACUACUCAGCAAUCCAGCAAAAGGAAGAACAGAAAUACAAAAAAAACUUCGGCAAGUUCGACGUUAAAAUGUCCUUUCCGAAACCGGUUGGCAUGUGAAUAGAUAAUUUGCAGGAAAUUUGUGCGCCGUGGCGCUUUCAAAGCGAAGAGUUCGUUAAGGGCAUUUCUACCGUACAGUCAUACCAGAAAUUCUUAUUAGGAUUCCUAUAGAAUUCGUUACAUUUAAGACACACCAAAGACAAAAGCAUAUAGAAAAUGUUAAUGAUGCAAAUGAUAUAUUACGGCAAGUUAUUUCAAAGGCAACCAAUACAAGAAACAAAAUGCUAUUUACUAAGUUCGAUUUGAAUGACAGGCGACGUUAAUACACGAUACACAAAAAGAUCAACAACAAAGAUAUAUCAUUUAUUGCAAAUGUUGAACAAAAUUGAUUAAAGGGCAAAGGUCAGCGCUCUCGCUGGGCGCCCUUGACACCUUAUAUUGUAUUUUAAUAUCUCGACAACAAUCGAAGGUCGAGAAACGACAAUAAACUGUGAAAUGAAUAUGUAAAAACAAAAUAAAA